UUACAAUAAUUAUUUGAUUUGACAUUUAUAUAAACAGAAACCUAAGAAAAUAACCUCACAGUCAGUUUCUUGCUCACGACUUAAACAAUAUCACGGUGACAUUGUGAUUAUCAAAUCUAGAUCAAAGCAAUAAUUAAAAAUUUUACCAGAAAUAACGAUUUGCUCGCCGAAUUCAAUACCGGAGUUCCACGAUCUACAUUUUUUUUUCAUUAUGGAUGAUAAAAAAAUGUGUAGAUCGUGGAACUUCGGUAUUGAAUCCGGGGAAGAGAUCGUUAUUUCUGGUAUUAGUCUGGUAGAUUUCCAUAUUAAUCAGAUCACAAUAUGAAUCAGUUUCGAAAAAAUCUAUUUAAUAAAGUUGACGUUGUUAAAACAAAUCAUGAUCGAUGGAAAAAAGUAAAUUGUUAAUUAUGUAUAGCCAAAGAACUUUUGUCUAAAACACGAUUCACAGAACUUUAUAGGUAACAAACUUGUACCCACAAGAAUUGUGUCACAUAAAUAUUUAUUGAGUUAUUUGAAUAAAACAAAUUAGUGGUAAUAAUAGCAUUCGAAAGCGGUUUUGUUCCUCCAAAUAUUAACUAUACAACACGAAAUGAUAUAAACGCCUUAAUAAAUGGAACUGUUCGUGUUGUUCAAGAACCGAUGCCACUUAAAAACAAUUACUCAACAUUGACUAACAGAAUAAUACAUGUAAUUUUAAAAUUUAAAUCAAAUUUAAAGGACAAAACUUACUAAAAUUUUAAGUUUUUGCAAAUACAAUAAAAAUAUGCGAUGUUACUUUAAAACCACAUGGUAUAAAUGUUAGUGAUAUUUUGAAAAAGACAGACAAAAAAGUGUGCAAAAUGCUUUAUAUGCGCUUCUUGGUAUCGUCGCUAUUUAGAUUGGCUUAGUAGACCUAACCUUUAGGAAUUAAGAAGAUAAAGAAGAACAAAUGAUAACCCAAGACAUCUACAAAAGGUUGAAACUCCGCGGUUAUCAAUACAAUGGUUGGUUUCGUGGAUUAAAGAGUGCAUCUGUUUCAGGCAGGCUACGGGAUAAUGCAGAUUAUGUGAAAGAUACAUUAUUGCCGAUACAGAUAUAUGGAGGCGCGAUUAUAGCGGGUGGAAUAUAAAUACAAGGCCAGACUGGCUAAUAGUUCGUGGUGCCAGAAACAUAGUAUUGGUUUCACGAAGUGGGGUAAAAAACGGUUACCAACGCAUAAAGAUUCGAUUAUGGGAAUCGUAUGGUGUAAAUGUGCUAAUCGUCAAGAAUAUCGAUGUCGCUAAUACCGAAGGUUGUGAAUACCUCUUGCGAACUGCGGAAAGCAAGGCACCAGUAAACGCGAUAUUUAAUCUCGGGGCAAUCCUGGACAGACUGAUUAUGGCAUAUGGCUAACUCUAUUAUGGAAAGAGUUUGCGAAAAGAGGAAGGAUUACCCGGAUUGGCAAUUCAAUGGGGAGUUGUUGGUGACGUGGGUCUCGUCGCUGAAAUGCAGGAAGAUCAGAAGGAAUUGAUUAUCGGCGAUACCUUACAACAAAAAGUAUUCUGUUGUCUCGACGAACUUGAUAAGUUUUUACUUCAAAGUUGGUCAGUUGUAAGCGCUCCAUGGUAGUAGCUGAAAAGAAAUCAGAAUUUGUCGAACAUGGAACUCCGGCAGAAGCUAUCGCUAAUAUUUUAAAUAUAAAAGACAUGAAAGUUGUAAGUCAAAAUACAUCUCUGGCUGAACUUGGAAUGGAUUCCAUGAUGGCAGUGGAAAUUAAGCAAACUCUGGAACGAGAAUUCGAUAUUUUCUCUCUGAGAUUCGUAAUCUCAACUUUGCAAAGCUCAAUGAUGCAUCCAAUACGAACAUCAGUGAUGCAAGGUCUUGCGUUACUUGCGUUAUAAUACAAAUAACGUCAUAAUACGUUACAAAAGCGUUAUAAUACAAUGCUGCAAACCUUAUAUUAUGGAUAAUUGAUCGUCUCAUCAAUCACGUAUUAACAAAACUGAGAGAUGGAAAAGACUUUGUAAUGGUAUACUCUUUUGGGUUUAUUAUUGCAAUUGAAUUAAUAAUUGUUAUCUAAACGACCUUUAAAACUCAUAGCUUCUAUCUUCUUAAAAAUAUUGGAAGCCAUGAAUUUUAUAGGCCGUUUGAUUCUUAUCGACGGCGCUCCUGAACAAAUCCGAAUGAUAAGCAAACAUUAUACGCGGACGAAGACGCGGAAUUGGAAGCAUUAUUGGAUUAAGAUUCGUACCAAACGCAAGAAGAACUUGCACUUACUUUUAUAUUUCGAAUAAAACAUAAGGUUCCGUUCUUUCAAAAUAAAUGCCCAAUUUUUGAUAAAAAAUGGCGGAAACUUUUCCGUACACCUAAUAUCAGAUUCUAACAAUGAUGUCGAUCUUCAGAUUAAUGUUCUAAUUAUUAUUUUAAAAGUUGAUUUACCUCUUAAAGAGGAAACGAUUAAAGAGUUUAGCAUUUCAAUUUAAAAACGUAUUCUAUGACGAUUUGUCAUCUUUUAUCUUUUCUUCGACAAUAUGAUCCUUGUUUAUUACGCCGCGCGUCCAUUAUAUCUCUCAUAAUGUUGCUAAAAUCUACAUACUCAUUGCCUAUUCCCGUACUCGACGAAGAUUAUGGUUUGCAGAAGGUAACUCAAAAUGUGGUAAAGAUACAUUACACAAAGGGUAAUCAUGUGACAAUCUUAAGGAACGUCUUAGAUGCAA
rnacentral:lncRNA from 1 species